rnacentral:lncRNA from 1 species
UCUUUGGUCACAGGGCUGCAGCACUGCAAUCCCAGCAUGCACCAGGCUCAGGGAGAGUGCGCUAAUCACUGGAGGAAGGGACGAGGUUCCGCGCAUCUCGCUGGUCUUGCUGGGAGAUGCAGUCUCAUAAACACUCCCAGCCCUUUGGUCACAGGGCUGCAGCACUACAAUCCUAGAAUGCACCGGGCUCCGGGAAAGUGCGCGUCACUGGAGGACGAGGCAGGGCUGUGCGCGCCUCCCUAGGAUUGUUGGAAGAUGCACUCUCAUAAACACUCCCAACCCUUGGGUCAAAGGGCUACAGGACUACAAUCCCAGCAUGCACCAGGCUCCAGGGCGAGGGGCAACCCUGGAAGAAGGGGCAGAGUGGUACCCGCCCCACCUAAUAUGCUGGGAGCUGUAGUCCGUUAACUACUCUCAGCCUGUUUGUCGGUAAGCUUCAGAGCUAUAAUCCCAGCAUGUACCAGGAUCCGGGGUCCAUAGCCCUGGAGGGAGGGGCAGAGCGGUGUGGACUUCCCGGUGUCCGAAGCGCUGCUGAGUUCUGAUGCUCUGCCGACUCUUUGCAAGGAGAGUGAGUACAGAGGUGCACCUGGAGGGCAGGUCUGGGCUGAGCAUUGAGGAGGGUAUUACCCUACGAAGAUACCUUACCUUUUCCCAAAUCGGGCGGGUUGUCCUCACCUGCUUGGCCCUAUCCUUCUCAGGUUCCUCUUUCAGUUGCACCCAGGGUUCUUUCCAGAGCAGUACAUCUUUUGCAGCCCAGGGCGCUGCCUUCUUUCCCAAACUGCGUGAAAAAUUUCCUGAUGUCCAAGACACUGUCCAUAGUGCCGCAGCCCUCUUUUUUCUCUAGCCAGAGCACGCACUCAAUCGUUUUUGAGAGAAAUCUUCCACCUGGCCUGCUUGUGAGCAGCUUCAGAGCUCUGCAGGGGUGACAAGGGCUGUGGCUUCCUGGAAAGGUCACUUUCAAUGGCGCCUUUUUCACGAAUGUGAAAGUCUAGGCAUCAGAAAGGUUAAUUAUUGGGUUGCAUAAAAUCUGCUAAGAGCAAAGGAAAAACCCCAUUUCCGAGGCGUGAGUCUUGUGAGCCAUUUUCAUCAACCCAUUUAAGUGGACCAGCUCCAAAAUGCAACCUGAAGCUACUAUUUAGGCAUUUUACACUUGAAAUCAUUGGUCUCAUCUCAAGUCAGGCCUGGCUUGCCAGUGGCUCAGAGCCACAAAUGGGACCUGAUACCUCAGGAACAGAUAGUGUUCCAGCUUUACGGGAGCAACUUUUAAGAUGUGGAGCACUUGGGGUCAUUUGAAACCCGCUAUCUUCAGUAGGGACUUUUACUUCUACAGAGCAUGUGCAUUUUGAUUUUAUCUGUCCUCAAGCUGACCUUUGUUCAUUUUAAUAGUAAAAAACACAUUCCUGGGUGGAGAUUUAAGAUGCUAGUGAGGCAUGCAAUGUAUGCACAAAUAUGUACAGCUACUGCACAUGUGCACCCAGAAGACCACUCAGAACAGGCUUACUAGCAGCUCCUCUUCCCCCCUCCUUACUAAUAAUAAUGUAAAACUCCCAUAAGGGGGUUUCUCCAGCGACAAUCCACGCUGUCUCACUCUUAUGAGCAGCCCGCCCUGGAA